UCCUGGUAAUGAUGUUAAAACAUCAGUAAAGUGUUCAUUAGACAUAAGUGAACAUGGGAUUUGUAAAUUAAACCAUUAUUUGCUAAACCUGAACCUGACAUUUGAUAAAACUGACUGAAAAAGAAUAAGUGAGGCCGAAAGACAUCUUUGAACUAUCAGACGCGAGUUGAUGUUUUGAUGGAUGAAACUUUUUUGAUUUUGAAUCACUGAUUUGUCUGAAUCUGUUGAGAAAACAGCAGCGUCUGUGGAAGAAAAAACAUUUAAUGUAAACUGAAUAUUUUCCCGGUUGUGAAAAGCCGUUUGGCUUCACUUUGCAUUAGCUUUGUGGCUCUUUGGUUCACCAGGAAUCAUUAAAGGACCUGUUGACUACGUUUCCUCUUGAAACAGAGCUGCAGAGCAUCUGGACCGACGUCAAGAACUUUGGAGACCCGAGGCGCGAUCGUAAAAGCCGUCAGCUCUCUGUGACUGCGCGUCCAAUCAGCAGGAGCUCUGCAGAGCCCUCCACUUGUAAUUGGAUGGAGACGGGAGCGGAAUAUGCAGCCUUGGCACAACGUAAACACACGCUCGUCUGCUUCGCGCUACAGAGGACGCGCCGGAUGGAGCGGACGGACUGAGCCAAGCCGCUGGGAGGAGGCAGAGGUUUUAAAGUUUAUGUCAUGAUAGAGUGAGAUAGGAUUUCAGAGCGUCAACGUGAGAUUUAAAAGAACAGGAGUGCGCGGUGCACAGUGGUCCCUCAGACUGGCGCGGAUCGUAGGUGCUUCUUAGCGUCAGAUCCGUGGAUUACGCACCGCGGAGCGCCUGGGACAGAGAAAACUUUUCCAAAGUACCCGUUUUUGCGCAGGGAUGCGCGGCGGCGUGUUUCCCCCCGCACAAGUCUAAACAAGUUGCAGCAACGACAUUUUUAAGCCAAGUCUCAAUGGAUUGAUUUUCACGCUUUUCUACAAUUGCGCAAACAUUUGACUCAUGCGUAUGAACCGUGCAUGUGUUUAUGGAUUAGAACACGACACACUGGAACUUUGAUCGAACGCCAGGAGACAGAAAA
rnacentral:lncRNA from 1 species